rnacentral:rRNA from 1 species
AUUGAACGCUGGCGGCAUGCCUUACACAUGCAAGUCGAAUGGCAGCACGGGAGCAAUCCUGGUGGCGAGUGGCGAACGGGUGAGUAAUACAUCGGAACGUGCCCAAUCGUGGGGGAUAACGCAGCGAAAGCUGUGCUAAUACCGCAUACGAUCUACGGAUGAAAGCAGGGGAUCGCAAGACCUUGCGCGAAUGGAGCGGCCGAUGGCAGAUUAGGUAGUUGGUGAGGUAAAGGCUCACCAAGCCGUCGAUCUGUAGCUGGUCUGAGAGGACGACCAGCCACACUGGGACUGAGACACGGCCCAGACUCCUACGGGAGGCAGCAGUGGGGAAUUUUGGACAAUGGGCGAAAGCCUGAUCCAGCCAUGCCGCGUGCAGGAUGAAGGCCUUCGGGUUGUAAACUGCUUUUGUACGGAACGAAACGGCCUUUUCUAAUAAAGAGGGCUAAUGACGGUACCGUAAGAAUAAGCACCGGCUAACUACGUGCCAGCAGCCGCGGUAAUACGUAGGGUGCAAGCGUUAAUCGGAAUUACUGGGCGUAAAGCGUGCGCAGGCGGUUAUGUAAGACAGUUGUGAAAUCCCCGGGCUCAACCUGGGAACUGCAUCUGUGACUGCAUAGCUAGAGUACGGUAGAGGGGGAUGGAAUUCCGCGUGUAGCAGUGAAAUGCGUAGAUAUGCGGAGGAACACCGAUGGCGAAGGCAAUCCCCUGGACCUGUACUGACGCUCAUGCACGAAGGCGUGGGGAGCAAACAGG